GACGAACCGUCCAAACGUUAUUCGGAAUCACUGGGCUUACAGAGUUCGUAGGCGGUCUGGAAAGUUGGGUGUGAAAUCCCUCGGCUCAACCGAGGAACUGCGCUCAAAACUACCCGACUCGAGGGAGAUAGAGGAAAGCGGAACUGAUGGUGGAGCGGUGAAAUGCGUUGAUAUCAUCAGGAACACCGGUGGCGAAGGCGGCUUUCUGGGUCUUACCUGACGCUGAGGAACGAAAGCUAGGGGAGCGAACAGG
rnacentral:rRNA from 1 species